rnacentral:rRNA from 1 species
GGGUUGUGAGGUUAAGCGACUAAGCGUACACGGUGGAUGCCCUGGCAGUCAGAGGCGAUGAAGGGCGUACUAAUCUGCGAUAAGCGCCGGUAAGGUGAUAUGAACCGUUAUAACCGGCGAUACCCGAAUGGGGAAACCCAGUGUGAUUCGUCACACUAUCAUUAACUGAAUCCAUAGGUUAAUGAGGCGAACCGGGGGAACUGAAACAUCUAAGUACCCCGAGGAAAAGAAAUCAACCGAGAUUCCCCCAGUAGCGGCGAGCGAACGGGGAGGAGCCCAGAGCCUGAAUCAGCAUGUGUGUUAGUGGAAGCGUCUGGAAAGGCGCGCGAUACAGGGUGACAGCCCCGUACACAAAAGCGCAUGUGCUGUGAGCUCGAUGAGUAGGGCGGGACACGUGGUAUCCUGUCUGAAUAUGGGGGGACCAUCCUCCAAGGCUAAAUACUCCUGACUGACCGAUAGUGAACCAGUACCGUGAGGGAAAGGCGAAAAGAACCCCGGCGAGGGGAGUGAAAAAGAACCUGAAACCGUGUACGUACAAGCAGUGGGAGCACAGGUUUACCUGUGUGACUGCGUACCUUUUGUAUAAUGGGUCAGCGACUUAUAUUCUGUAGCAAGGUUAACCGAAUAGGGGAGCCGGAGGGAAACCGAGUCUUAAUUGGGCGUUAAGUUGCAGGGUAUAGACCCGAAACCCGGUGAUCUAGCCAUGGGCAGGUUGAAGGUUGGGUAACACUAACUGGAGGACCGAACCGACUAAUGUUGAAAAAUUAGCGGAUGACCUGUGGCUGGGGGUGAAAGGCCAAUCAAACCGGGAGAUAGCUGGUUCUCCCCGAAAGCUAUUUAGGUAGCGCCUCGUGAAUUCAUCUCCGGGGGUAGAGCACUGUUUCGGCUAGGGGGCCAUCCCGGCUUACCAACCCGAUGCAAACUGCGAAUACCGGAGAAUGUUAUCACGGGAGACACACGGCGGGUGCUAACGUCCGUCGUGAAGAGGGAAACAACCCAGACCGCCAGCUAAGGUCCCAAAGUCAUGGUUAAGUGGGAAACGAUGUGGGAAGGCCCAGACAGCCAGGAUGUUGGCUUAGAAGCAGCCAUCAUUUAAAGAAAGCGUAAUAGCUCACUGGUCGAGUCGGCCUGCGCGGAAGAUGUAACGGGGCUAAACCAUGCACCGAAGCUGCGGCAGCGACACUGUGUGUUGUUGGGUAGGGGAGCGUUCUGUAAGCCUGCGAAGGUGGCCUGUGAGGGUUGCUGGAGGUAUCAGAAGUGCGAAUGCUGACAUAAGUAACGAUAAAGCGGGUGAAAAGCCCGCUCGCCGGAAGACCAAGGGUUCCUGUCCAACGUUAAUCGGGGCAGGGUGAGUCGACCCCUAAGGCGAGGCCGAAAGGCGUAGUCGAUGGGAAACGGGUUAAUAUUCCCGUACUUGGUGUUACUGCGAAGGGGGGACGGAGAAGGCUAUGUUGGCCGGGCGACGGUUGUCCCGGUUUAAGCGUGUAGGUGUGUGUUCCAGGUAAAUCCGGUUCACUUUAACACUGAGGCGUGACGACGAGGCACUACGGUGCUGAAGCAACAAAUGCCCUGCUUCCAGGAAAAGCCUCUAAGCAUCAGGUAACAUCAAAUCGUACCCCAAACCGACACAGGUGGUCAGGUAGAGAAUACCAAGGCGCUUGAGAGAACUCGGGUGAAGGAACUAGGCAAAAUGGUGCCGUAACUUCGGGAGAAGGCACGCUGACACGUAGGUGAAGUGAUUUACUCAUGGAGCUGAAGUCAGUCGAAGAUACCAGCUGGCUGCAACUGUUUAUUAAAAACACAGCACUGUGCAAACACGAAAGUGGACGUAUACGGUGUGACGCCUGCCCGGUGCCGGAAGGUUAAUUGAUGGGGUCAGCGCAAGCGAAGCUCCUGAUCGAAGCCCCGGUAAACGGCGGCCGUAACUAUAACGGUCCUAAGGUAGCGAAAUUCCUUGUCGGGUAAGUUCCGACCUGCACGAAUGGCGUAAUGAUGGCCAGGCUGUCUCCACCCGAGACUCAGUGAAAUUGAACUCGCUGUGAAGAUGCAGUGUACCCGCGGCAAGACGGAAAGACCCCGUGAACCUUUACUAUAGCUUGACACUGAACAUUGAGCCUUGAUGUGUAGGAUAGGUGGGAGGCUUUGAAGUGUGGACGCCAGUCUGCAUGGAGCCGACCUUGAAAUACCACCCUUUAAUGUUUGAUGUUCUAACGUGGACCCGUUACCCGGGUUGCGGACAGUGUCUGGUGGGUAGUUUGACUGGGGCGGUCUCCUCCUAAAGAGUAACGGAGGAGCACGAAGGUUGGCUAAUCCUGGUCGGACAUCAGGAGGUUAGUGCAAUGGCAUAAGCCAGCUUGACUGCGAGCGUGACGGCGCGAGCAGGUGCGAAAGCAGGUCAUAGUGAUCCGGUGGUUCUGAAUGGAAGGGCCAUCGCUCAACGGAUAAAAGGUACUCCGGGGAUAACAGGCUGAUACCGCCCAAGAGUUCAUAUCGACGGCGGUGUUUGGCACCUCGAUGUCGGCUCAUCACAUCCUGGGGCUGAAGUAGGUCCCAAGGGUAUGGCUGUUCGCCAUUUAAAGUGGUACGCGAGCUGGGUUUAGAACGUCGUGAGACAGUUCGGUCCCUAUCUGCCGUGGGCGCUGGAGAACUGAGGGGGGCUGCUCCUAGUACGAGAGGACCGGAGUGGACGCAUCACUGGUGUUCGGGUUGUCAUGCCAAUGGCACUGCCCGGUAGCUAAAUGCGGAAGAGAUAAGUGCUGAAAGCAUCUAAGCACGAAACUUGCCCCGAGAUGAGUUCUCCCUGAGACU